UACGUAGGGCGCAAGCGUUGUCCGGAAUUAUUGGGCGUAAAGAGCUCGUAGGCGGUCUGUCGCGUCGGAUGUGAAAGCUCGCAGCUUAACUGCGGGUCUGCAUCCGAUACGGGCAGACUAGAGGCAGGUAGGGGAGAACGGAAUUCCCGGUGUAGCGGUGAAAUGCGCAGAUAUCGGGAGGAACACCGGUGGCGAAGGCGGUUCUCUGGGCCUGUACUGACGCUGAGGAGCGAAAGCGUGGGGAGCGAAC
rnacentral:rRNA from 1 species